rnacentral:lncRNA from 1 species
AUUGAUACAAUUGGUAUAACUGACAUAUAAAUAGGUACAACUGGUAUAAAUAGUUAGGUACAAUGGUACAAAUAGUUAGGUACAACUGGUACAAAUAAGUAGGUACAACUGAAACGAAACAAUUGUAAUUCUAAACCCUAGCGUCGUCACACUUACUAAUUCGCCUCUUCUUGCUUUCUUCAUCGUCGUCGUCGCCGAUUAUCCGCCGUCAACCUUCUUUGUCGAAGUUUGUGAACCGUUUUUCUCACCAAACGAUUGCGCACUUCAAAGGACGAAAGCACGAGGAGAUAUCCAUGGAGAAGAAACAUGAAGAAAGAUUCAAUCUAUGAAGAAACGCAAAAAGAUAUCUAUGGAGAAGAUAGAUCUAAAGUUUCAUUGAUGAUGAUGAUGAUGGAGAAGAAGAGAUAUAAAGUGAAAGAUCCAAAAAAAAUCUAGAAAAAAUAAAAGAAGAAGAAGAAGAAGAAGCGUGAAAGAAGAAGAGGAGUGAGUUAGAUUGGUGGCAGGGAUACGUAAUUAUCAAAUUAGGGUAAGAGUUUUUGGCCCUUUUCUAUUUAUUUGAUUUAAAUUCUUUUAUUUUUAUUAUUCUAAAAAAUUGGGUGGCUUUCCAGCCUUUUUGUUCCC